AUCCCUUGAACCUGGGAGGCGGAGAAUAUGGUUGUGGCAGAUGGUAUGUUUCCAAAGAAGAUGGAGCCUCAUGUCCCACCCACAGACUCUUCUGCAGUGGAAACUGGCCACUCCCCCAACAAGAGGUGAGAAUGGCCCUGCAGCCUCCACUGGUCCUGCUGGGAAGCUCAUUCUCUGGAUGCUCACUCCUGGGACACUCCUUCUUGGGACCCAGCCACCAUGCUGGGAGAAGCCUUAGACAUAUGAAAAGGCCACAUAUGGAUGCUCUGGGUGACAGUGGUCCCAGUCCAGAUACCAACAUGUAAGUGAACAAGCCUCCAUAUGACUCCAGCCCCUAAGCCUUUCGAGUGUUCCCAGUUAAGGCUCCAGAUAUUGUAGAGCAGAGCAAAGCCAUGUCCAGGCCUGUGUCCUUUUGUGCAGCAAGAGAUUCUGGGAACACAGGGCUCUGCAAAGUGCACAACACAAAGACUUGUUCAUUCAACAGGGGAAGGACUCGGCCUUAUUAGUGGUAUCCCAAGCCCAGUGGGGCCCCUAGCUGAGGGGGCGCUGCAAAGUGGGAUCGAAGGGCUCAGUCAGGGCAGGAAAUCAAAGUGGUGGUGGUCUGUUGCUGCCUGUGUGGCCCCAGUCCUGGGGACUUGUGCAUGGAGAAGUUUGGGAUCUCCAAGUGUACUUUGACUACAGAACCCCCGACAGCCACACAGAAGCCUACAGGCCUAGGCCCCAAGUGAAUGAACACUGUGGCCACUCCCACCCCACCCCCAUCCUCCAAGAAGAAAAAGAGAAGGAGCGAAAAAGGCAGAGAGGGUACACUCUGACACUCCCUGCUGGAGAGUAGGAUGGUGGA